AACGAACGCUGGCGGCAUGCCUAACACAUGCAAGUCGAACGAAGCCUUCGGGCUUAGUGGCGCACGGGGUGCGUAACGCGUGGGAAUCUGCCCCUCGGUUCGGAAUAACAGUUAGAAAUGACUGCUAAUACCGGAUGAUGACGAAAGUCCAAAGAUUUAUCGCCGAGGGAUGAGCCCGCGUAGGAUUAGCUUGUUGGUGGGGUAAUGGCCCACCAAGGCGACGAUCCUUAGCUGGUCUGAGAGGAUGAUCAGCCACACUGGGACUGAGACACGGCCCAGACUCCUACGGGAGGCAGCAGUGGGGAAUAUUGGACAAUGGGCGAAAGCCUGAUCCAGCAAAUGCCGCGUGAGUGAUGAAGGCCUAGGUUGUAAAGCUCUUUACCAGGGAUGAUAAUGACAGUACCUGGAGAAUAAGACUCCGGCUAAACUCCGUGCCAGCAGCCGC
rnacentral:rRNA from 1 species